AGCUAAUUUUUUAUUAUUCAGUAGUUUUGACUAUUAUUAUUAAUUGAGAUUAAUAAAAUUAUAAAAAAUUACUUCUCUUUUCUAAGGAUUGAUCCUUGAUUUUUUCUUUAUUCCUUGUUCUACAUCAAGCAUAUUCUAGAAUUAUCAAGUGAAUUCGUCAACCCUUGAAAACUUUAUGUUCCAUACAUUUACAGAAAAUAAAGAGGCCACUAACUAAGAAGAGUUAAAAGUUUCAACCAAAAUAAAAACCAACAAAACAGAA
rnacentral:misc_RNA from 1 species